rnacentral:misc_RNA from 1 species
AAGUCGUAACAAGGUAACCGUAGGUGAACCUGCGGUUGGAUCAUCCGAGAGAGUGGCACACGCAGUGUUACACGCAGUGUUACACGCAGUGUGUCGCUCGUAAUAGUUAGUGACUUGUAUGUUUUCUCGUUCUUUUCGGUGAAUCACAGAAAAAAGAGAGAAAUCGCUUUUCGGUGCAUCACAGAAAGAGAGAGAGAGAGACACGUUCACUUGCAAACACCAAUUCCAGCGAAACGCACAAUUCCUCUGAAAAAGAGAGAGAAGCACCAAUCUCAAUAACACUAAAACAUGACAAAGAAAGAAACAGAAAUAACUUUUGACAAUGGAUCUCUUGGUUCUC